rnacentral:rRNA from 1 species
GGCGGACGGGUGAGUAAUGCUUGGGAACAUGCCUUGAGGUGGGGGACAACAGUUGGAAACGACUGCUAAUACCGCAUAAUGUCUGCGGACCAAAGGGGGCUUCGGCUCUCGCCUCUAGAUUGGCCCAAGUGGGAUUAGCUAGUUGGUGAGGUAAUGGCUCACCAAGGCGACGAUCCCUAGCUGGUUUGAGAGGAUGAUCAGCCACACUGGGACUGAGACACGGCCCAGACUCCUACGGGAGGCAGCAGUGGGGAAUAUUGCACAAUGGGCGCAAGCCUGAUGCAGCCAUGCCGCGUGUGUGAAGAAGGCCUUCGGGUUGUAAAGCACUUUCAGUCAGGAGGAAAGGUUAGUAGUUAAUACCUGCUAGCUGUGACGUUACUGACAGAAGAAGCACCGGCUAACUCCGUGCCAGCAGCCGCGGUAAUACGGAGGGUGCGAGCGUUAAUCAGAAUUACUGGGCGUAAAGCGUAC